rnacentral:rRNA from 1 species
CGGCGGAGCAUGCGGAUUAAUUCGAUGCAACGCGAAGAACCUUACCAAGGCUUGACAUAUAGAGGAAACGUCUGGAAACAGUCGCCCCGCAAGGUCUCUAUACAGGUGGUGCAUGGUUGUCGUCAGCUCGUGUCGUGAGAUGUUGGGUUAAGUCCCGCAACGAGCGCAACCUCGUUCUAUGUUGCCAGCACGUAAUGGUGGGAGCUCAUGGGAUACUGCCGGGGUCAACUCGGAGGAAGGUGGGGAUGACGUCAAAUCAUCAUGCCCCUUAUGUCUUGGGCUUCACGCAUGCUACAAUGGCCGGUACAAAGGGCUGCAAUACCGUAAGGUGGAGCGAAUCCCAAAAAGCCGGUCCCAGUUCGGAUUGAGGUCUGCAACUCGACCUCAUGAAGUCGGAGUCGCUAGUAAUCGCAGAUCAGCAACGCUGCGGUGAAUACGUUCCCGGGUCUU